rnacentral:rRNA from 1 species
UACAGAGGGUGCAAGCGUUGUCCGGAAUCACUGGGCGUAAAGGGCGCGUAGGCGGCUCAUGAAGGCUGUGGUGAAAGUCCGGGGCUCAACCUCGGAUCGGCCGUGGCGACUCGUGGGCUGGAGCACUGUAGAGGCGGGUGGAAUUCCGGGUGUAGCGGUGGAAUGCGUAGAGAUCCGGAAGAACACCAGUGGCGAAGGCGGCCCGCUGGGCAGUGGCUGACGCUGAGGCGCGACAGCGUGGGGAGCAGACAGG